GACUUUUUGAAAGGGGAGCGUUGGAGACCGGAUCCUGGGCGGAGGUGACUGCUGAUUGGUGGAGUGCGGAGCCGUUUACAAAUGGACACACAAAUGGAUUUGGAUAUAUGACACCAAGAUCAAAUUGAACAUGGCCAAGUAACUGACCUAUAAGGAACAUGUGCUGGAAAGAACAUGAGCUAAAAACUACUGUCUGUGAUAGAAAUUACAGGAUCAAUGAUUCUCUCAAGACUUAUGUGUAGUCCUCAAAGCCAUCCGCAAGUUGUAGAAGAUACCUAAGCUGUUUGCUUGGCUGCUUCCCACUUCCUGGCAAAGUACUCCUUCUGGAAUUUGUCCUUCUCCAAGCUGAGAGGGGAGAUACAGCUAGCAGAAGUAUACUCACCUCAUCGCCACCUAGUGAGAAGAACGGUGUCGAAACGUAUCGAAGGUGUUGGAGGAAGUUGAGAAGAUGUGACCUCUGGCUGACCUGCUGGCUGGACUGGCAAGUCGAGGCCCUUCACCCUCUCGCUUGUCCUUGAAAUGUAUCCUCUGCCCACAAUGGGAGCCAUGUUCAAGGUCACAGCCUUGAGAGAGUAAGGUGCUGGGACCAUCUGGACUGAAUAUGUGACUCAAUUCAGGAUGAAUGCGAUUGCUGGGCCAUACGGGCAUACCUGCGGCAUUUGAAAGUUCCCAGGCUAGUGGUUGAAUCAGAGCUGCAGCUGCCAGCGUACACCACAGCCACAGCAAUGCUGGAUCCAAGCCGCGUCUGCAACCUACACCACAGCUCAAGGCAAUGUCGGAUCCUUACCCUACUGAGUGAGACCAAGGAUCAAACCUGCAUCCUCAUGGAUACAAGUCGGGCUCAUUACCCCUGAGCCACAGCAGAAACUCCCAGGUAAAACAUCAUAAUUGAUGGAGAAAACUCAGAUCACAGUACAAGGCUUAUGGAGACUACAGAUACAGAGGCUAAGCUGGGUGGACAUAAGCAGGAAAGGACAUCUUAGACCUACAAUUGUUGACCUCUCUUUAUCAAGGUGGACACAACUUGUUCCGGCAUUUCUGAUCAUCAAGAGGCACUUUGUCAUCAAAGGGUGCUCAUCUUUCAAGAUGCUGUAACAAUUUUGAGUAUGAUCUUCUUGCCUUGCCGCAUUUAGGGUUUAGGAGCCCAUAUUUUAAAGUAGAAAGGGCAAGGAUGGAAGGUCACGGCAGGGACUCUCAGAGGCAAUAGUCAAAGUCAUAGAGUGGUGGGAAGAAAAUGAUCUCUCAGAGUCGCUUCUAUCGCUUUCCAUCUCUUUAACUGGCUUGUGCGGCUUAACACCUCUCAGCCUCAGCUUUCUUUCCAGUAAAAUAAGCGCCCUCAUAUCUACCUUAUGGGGUCCAUGAAAGCAUGACAUCAAUUGAGCAGGCGAAUCAGUGAACCUGCAGAAGCAACAAACACAGCUACCAUUUGUUGGGGACGUAACACAUUUGAGGCUCUGUGCAGACAUUUGAAAGACAUGGCUGUGUCACUUCCUCUGUCUAAUUUCUCUUCAUCUUCUCCCUCUCUUUUUAUUUCCUGAAGCUAGAAAUACGAUGGCGAGUUUAAAACUUUGUUCUUUCAUUCAACAAACAUUUUUUGAGCAACUCCUGUGUGCUAGUCAUGGUUCUUUGUUCUUAAGACACAGCUCCAAACAAGACAGACCAGAUCUAUAUUCUCAGAUAUUAUAGUGAAGGGAGACUGAAAACAAUGGGUAAGCAAAUACAUAUGCUAGGUAAUUUCGGACCGAUCAAGGUACUAAAACAACAACAACAAAAACAAGGUGUCACGAAGAGACAGAGACAGCUGGGAUGGGUGGGAAGAUAAUGAAUGAAGGUUAUUUUAAUUAAUUGAUUGAUUGAUUGGUUGACUUUUAAAUCUUAUUGGAGUACAACUGACUUAAAAUGUUGUGUUACUUUUAGGUGUAUAGCAAAGUGAAUCAGUUUACAUAUCCAUAUAUCCAUUCUUUUCAGAUUCUUUUCCCAUGUAAGUUAUUACAGAAUAUUGAGUAUAUUUGGCUGUGCUAUACAGUAGGUCCUUACAACUUAUAUAUUGUAUGUAUAGUAGUAUGCAUAUGUUAAUCCCAAGCUCCUAAUUUAGCCCCCCCCCCCCAAUGUUUCCUCUUUGGUAACCAUUUGGUUUUGAGAUCUUUGAGUCUGUGUCUGUCUUGUAAAUAAGUUCUUUUCUAUCACUUUUUAUUACAUUCCACAUAUAAGUGAUAUCGUAUGCUGUUUGUCUUUCUGACAUACUUCACUUACUAUGAGAAUCUCUAGUUGCAUCCAUGUUGUUGGAAAUGCCAUUCAUUUGUUCUUUUUUAUGGCUGAGUAAUAUUCCUGUGUAUAUAUGUACCACCUCUGAAUGAUGGCUAUUUUAGAAAGGGUGAUGAGAAAGUGUGUGACAUUAGAAAAGAAACUUGAAGUGAGGAAUGAGCAAUGGGAAAAGGUAGGAAAAGUGAGCUGUGGGCAGAGUGUAUGCAAGUAAAAUGAACUUAAUGUGUUUGAAGAGCAAAGAAGUCAGAAUUCCAAGUGGUUAGCAAAUGAGAGAAUGCAGGAGGUGAAGAAGGAGAGACUGGGUUUUCUAGAAGGGCAGGAAGUUUGACUUUAUUCUAAAUGUGAUGGAGGGUUUUGCACAUUGGAAUGAUGUCCUCUGAUUUAUGUUUUAUAAGGAAAAUUUAUUCUAUUGUUUGAAGAUGACUCGAGGGGUUAAAAUGACCAGGAGGCAUGAUAAGGAAAGAGUGAGAAGGCCAAGGCAAAAUCCAAAUGAGUGAUGACUGUGGUUUGGCCAAAGGUUUUUGCCAUUGGGGUAGAGAGAAGAUGGCUUUUGGAUAAGUUUGGGAGAUGAGCUGAUUAGACCCACAUGGAUAGAACUUGGGAAAUAAAAGAAAGGGAAAAUCAAGGAUGACUUCUAGGCUUGGGCUGAGCACUUGUUUGUUGGAAAAUCUAGGACUCCCUUAACUGCCCCACUGUGUGUUUUAAGAGGAAGCAAUUGCUCGUGUUAUACAAGAUGAGCUCUUAAGUCUGCAUGUGUGAUAUUCAGUGGGACCAAGACCGGGCUAGAGAUACAGUUGAACUGGAGAAAAGAUGUUGAUGUUUCCUGAAUCUUUGGGUUGUGUUCUUUCAGUAUACUGGUGGUGGAUUACUUUGUAACUUUUGCUUCAGUUUUCCUCCAACUGCUCCGGUUUCCACCCCCACUCUCCGCUCCCACUUCUGCUGCUUCCUCUUCACUUCAGCAGUGCAAGAACCACCUUGCAGGGCACGGCAAGUUCAACAGACUUGGCACCUGGGCCCUGGUGGAUGAGUUCUACCCUUUAGGCAGUGUGGCCUCCUGGCCUGCCAAAUCUGGAAUGCUUUCCUGGCUGCCUAUGCUGCUCCGGCACAGGGCUUCGGGGCUGGAGCAGAGCAGGACAGACUCCUACCCAUGCCUCUUUUGGUUAGGGUAUGAGGGGGAAGGGCCUGCAGCCCUGGGUGGUUCAUGAUGCCGAAACCCCAGGACUGCUGCUUGGGGCUGACUCUGGGAGUUGGUGUAGACAGUAGCUAGGCUCUGAGGCAUUUUGACAGCAAUUUUCAAGAGAGUCCCUUACCUUCCCUGAACUCCAAUUCUCUCAUCCAUAAAGAUGGGAUAGUAAUAACGAUUAAAGAUAGGACGGUGAUAACAAUUGUUUUGAGUUAUUGUAAUUAUUGACCACUUUUUUGGUGUCUUUUUAGGGUUGUACCCGCGGCAUAUGAAAGUUCCCAGGCUAGGGGUCAAAUCAGGGCUGUAGCUGUUGGCCUACACCACAACUACAGCAAUGCCAGAUCUGAGCCGUGUCUGCAAUGUACACCACAGCUCACAGCAAUGCCAGAUCCUUAACCCACUAAGUGAGGCCAGGGAUCAAAGCCACGUCAUUAUAGUUAUCCUGGAUACCAGUAGGGUUUGUUAACCACUGAGACAUGGUGAGAAUUCCUGAUUAUUGACAAUUUGAGAGGCAGUAAAGAGCCAAGGGACAUUUGGCUUGGAGUCUAGAGGCAGGAAAAGACCUCCAUUCUUUUCCAUAUGGAUCCUGACAUUGGAACGUGUUUCUUAACCAAUCUGUGCCUCAGUUUCCUUAUCUCCUCUAAAAGAAUAAUAAUGGUGCCUACCUCAAAUGGCUAUCCCGAGAUUUAAUUUCUUGGAAAGUGCUUCCAACUGUGACUGGCAUUUGACUAUAGCACCUAAAAAUAGUGUUUGACAAGAGGCACUUGAUGCUUGUCUGGUAGGAAAAAAAUGAUGUCUAGAAAAAGUGCAGAAAUAGCAUUAAAAAUUAUUGUUUUAAAUUUUGUUAUAUCCUUCAUUUGCAUUACUGCUUCUGUUUUCCAGAAAUAACUACAGUUUCAGUACAUGAAUCUCUGGGAUUUAAAUGAGAGGAUGACAUGCUCAGAUGCCUAUGAGGGGUGAGAGCAGGUAACACAAAUAAGUAAGGGAAGUAGGCUCGGGGGAUAGACCAGGGCGCAUAUGGUCUCAUCUGUCUUAACAGGUUACAUGGCUUAGCAGUGGUGUCACACGAAAGUUCUUUAAGAGAAGCUGGAAAUCUGGAAUUUUUAGAUAAAAUUUCCAGGUUUAUAAACAUGGGUGGUUAGACCAAAGUGCUGGGAAAAACAAAAAACAAAACAAAACAAAACAAGACAAAACAAACCUUGCUGGCUAAAGAGACAUCUGAUCCAUGGGGUAGGUCUGGCCAUGGGCCACCAGUUUAGUUACAUGGAUCUAGAUAACUGUGGAUCAGUUUGUGAAAUCAGCUGCAAGUGGGAUCCGGGAAGGUACAUUUAAAUGAGAGGAUGUUUUCAUAUGGAAAGCUACAGUGGGGGCUGCUCCGGAGCUUCCUCUGGAGUAGGAAACGGGGUUGGGAGUGAUGGGGAGGAUGCCGAAAGAUGAAGCAUGUGAUCCAGAUGGCCUGGGCAUACUUCAAAACCCGAUGUAGGGCUGGCCUCAGUGCCAUAGAUGUCUGUGUUUUGAACAUACAGGUUGUUUUUACUUCCUUGGCAGUCAGGUGAUACGGAGGCAGUAUUGUUCAAUUCACUGCUUCCUGGGGCCUGAUUGCACCUGCUGUGCAUAGCUAUGGCAUCACUCAUGGUUAGGCAACUGCUUGCCUUUGUCCUGAGGCUCCUGUGGGUCCCACCUGAUGCAGGUGUUUUGGAGGGAGCAUACACAGGUAGACUGCUUGGAUUGGAUCCUAUAACCCAGUCCACUAACCUGAUCUAUAGAGCAGGUGCCCAGAGAGUGGGGCUGAACUUCACUUUCAAUGACCUGGACUAUCACACAGCUAUUUGGUUAUGGUUUUCAUAAUUCAGCAAAGAUGACUUAAGGCUUUAUGGUGUUAUAGAGUGCUCUGGCAUCCAUGGCAAAGCCUAAAAUCAGGUGGAAGAUAAAACAUUAUAAUUAUUAUUCAUAUUCAAAGUAAAACUCAAACACCUAAUGCUAUUUAAAAGUUAUAGGACAGUACUAGGCAAUCAGUGGUUAUUAACAAGGGUUGUUUAGCGAUAUCUGGAGACAUUAUAGUUGUUAUAACUGAGUGAGAGGUUUGCUGCUGGCAUAUAGUGGGUGGACGCCAUGGAUGCUUCAAAACAUCCUGCAAUGCCCAGGACAGUCCCCCACCACAAAAAAUUAUCGGGGCUCACAUGUCGAUAGUGACAAGGCUGAGAAACCUGUAAUAAAUUGAAAGAAAAAAAAUUCAUAUGAGAAGGUAACUUUAGAAAUAAAAUUAGGGGCAUAAAUUAAAGGCUGCCAUGCACUGGGUUUAAGAUGUGUAUAUAUGCGUGCUUUUAGCAAAUUGAUUUCUUCAUGUACUCAUGGCUGAAUUAAAUCAAUUAUAUAUAAAGCGACCUACUUCCUCCUAUCACAAGAAACUAUUUUCACUAUAAAGGAGCUUAGAGCUGCACAUAGAAGCCCAAUGCCCACCCCCAAAGCCAAAUAUGCUAAUAUCUAGAGCAAUUAUCAUACAAGCAGGUAGAACCCAAAGAGAAAAAACUAGGGUCCUUGAUCCUUCCAAGUGGAGCCAUCACUUGUGUCCUCUCCACCGAUUGCUCCCAGUAGGUGGUCAAGUUCAUUGCCUUUGACAUCUUGCUUUGCUGACAGAUGCUUUCAAUACGAAGGCAAUUCAAAAGCAAAUGAAUAGAGGCUGAGGAGUUCAUGCAAUAGACCUGCUGUGGGUUCAUCACCCACGUCCAGUGCAAUACUUCCUAAGAGGUACCCCUUGAAUGGAAGACACAGGUCAUUUUUUCCAGAGGACAGGCUCUUCCUUCAAGUUCAGACUGAUCUGUUGAGGACAGUAGACAACAGAAAGUGGCUGGCAGAGUUGGGAUAUUGAGACCACACCCUGAAUUUUGUGAAACAUUUGAUAGAAAAGAAGAGAGGCGUUCCUGCUGUGGCUCAGUGGUUAAGAAACCAACCAGUAUCUAUGAGGUUGAUGGAUCCCUGGUCCUGGUCAGUGGGUUAAGGAUCUCUCAUUGCCGUGAGCUGUGGUUUAGGUCACAGACUUGGCUCAGAUCUGGCUGUUGCUGUGGCUGUGACUGUGGCCAGCAGCUGCAGCUCUGAUUCAGCACCUAGCCUGGGAACUUCCCUAUGCCAUAGGUACAGCCCUUAAAAUAAAAAAAAAAAAAAAAAAAAAAAAAAG
rnacentral:lncRNA from 1 species